AGCUCCAAUAGCGUAUAUUAAUGUUGUUGCAGUUAAAAAGCUCGUAGUUGAACCUUGGGCAGCGGUGACUGGUCGGCUUUUUACAAAGUGUGUACUGGUUUUGCCGUUGUCUUUCCUGAUGAUGAUCCAUUCUGCUCUUAACUGAGUGGUUUGGAGUUCCAAUCAUCUCGUUUACUGUGAACAAAUUAGAGUGUUUAAAGCAGGCAUUUGCUUGAAUACAUUAGCAUGGAAUAAUAGAAUAGGACUUUGGUCUUAUUUUGUUGGUUUCUAGGACUGAAGUAAUGAUUAAUAGGGAUAGUUGGGGGCAUUCAUAUUUAAUUGUCAGAGGUGAAAUUCUUGGAUUUAUGAAAGAUGAACUUCUGCGAAAGCAUUUGCCAAGGAUGUUUUCAUUAAUCAAGAA
rnacentral:rRNA from 1 species